rnacentral:lncRNA from 1 species
UACCUGAUGACAUUUGGUAGAGUUCUUAGACUUGACUAAUGUUAGAAAAAUCACUUCUGUUUUGGUGGGUGGGAUGUACUGGGUAGUUGAGAGACAGGUAAAGAAAUAUCCACAAAAAGGCCGGGCGCAGUGGCUCACGCCUGUAAUUCCAGCACUUUGGAAGGCCGAGGCGGGCAGAUCAUGGGGUCAGGAGAUCGAAACCAUCCUGGUUAACACAGUGAAACCCCGUCUCUACUAAAAAUACAAAAAAUUAGCCAGGCAUGGUGGCGGGUGCCUGUAGUUCCAGCUACUCGGGAUGCUGAGGCAGGAGAAUGGCGUGAACCCGGGAGGCGGAGCUUGCAGUGAGCCGAGAUCGUGCCACUGCUCUCCAGCCUGGGCGAGAGGGUGAAACUCCGUCUCAAAAAAAAAAAAAAAAAAAGAAAUAUCCACAAAUAAGAUUUAUCAAGUAUUCUGCUAACAUAUCUAUAAUAUAUGCUUAUUUCAGAACAAUCACUCUUACAAAAUUCACUAAGCUUUUGCCAACGCCAGUGAAAAAUAUUUAACGCAUCAGACUCAUAUUGUGUUAGUUGCUGAAGUUACAGAGUGAACUUCCAGUUCUGAUGUCUAUUUCUUUUUAACUACCCU